UACGGGGGGGGCAAGCGUUGUUCGGAAUUACUGGGCGUAAAGGGCUCGUAGGUGGCCAACUAAGUCGGACGUGAAAUCCCUCGGCUUAACCGGGGAACUGCGUCCGAUACUGGUUGGCUUGAGUUUGGGAGAGGGAUGCGGAAUUCCAGGUGUAGCGGUGAAAUGCGUAGAUAUCUGGAGGAACACCCGUGGUGAAGGCGGCUCUCUGGGACGUGACUGACGCUGAGACGCGAAAGCGUGGGGAGCGAACAGG
rnacentral:rRNA from 1 species